rnacentral:rRNA from 1 species
AUGGCGGCGGCGUCGGCGGCCGACGAGGCGUGGUGCCGGGAGACCGUUCCCCGGGUGAUGGAGCUGGUGAGCCCGCGCCUCCCCCAGCGCGACGCCUGCGUCCUGCUCUCCGUCAGCCCCUGGUGCCACCGCGCCCUCGCCGCCAACCCCAAGCUCUGGGAGGUACUCGACCUGCAUGAGAUGAAGAAAGCCGGCGAGCGGCUCAUUUCAGCGCUUUCGCUGGCAAGGUACCGUCAUCUCAAAGUCGUGAACCUUGAAUUCGCUCAAGAUAUCGAGGACCGGCAUUUUCUCCGUCUGAAAGUAACGGGUGCUAUCUUACUAGAAGAGUUGGAGCUCCUGAACCUGAAUGCAUGUCAGAAGAUCUCUGAUACAGGGAUUGGAGCUGCUACCAGUCUUUGUCCUAAUCUUCGGGCCCUGUCGAUCUAUUGGAUUGUUGGAUUGACAGACGCAAGCAUUGAACACGUUGUGAAGAACUGCAAGCAGAUAAUCGACUUGAAUAUGAGUGGCUGUAAGAAUAUCUCAGAUAGAGGAAUACAGCUAGUUGCCGAUAAUUAUCAAGGACUACAGAAGUUGGACAUAACCAGGUGCAUUAAGUUGACUGAUGAUGCAUUGCAAAAAGUUCUUGAGAAAUGCUCUGCUCUUGAAAGCUUGAACAUGUAUGCCCUUUCAAGUUUUACCGACAAGGCUUAUACAAAAAUUGGAUAUUUAGCCAACCUCACAUUUCUAGACCUAUGUGGGGCCCAGAACCUAACUGACGACGGUCUUAGAAGUAUAUCAAGAUGCGGAAGUUUGACAUAUCUAAAUUUAUCUUGGUGCGUACGUGUUACUGAUGUUGGGGUGGUAGCUAUCGCACAAGGUUGUCGAUCCCUUGAACUACUAAGUUUAUUUGGAAUACUUGGAGUAACUGAUGCCUGCCUGGAGGCUUUGUCAAAAUCUUGCUCAAAUAGUCUCACGACUCUGGAUGUAAAUGGCUGUACUGGAAUUAAGAGGAGGAGCCGGGACGAGCUGAUCCAACUGUUCCCACGAUUGAGUUGCUUCAAGGUGCACAGCUAG